ACUUCCCAGCCUCCUGAACUGUGAGAAAUAAGUGUCUGGACAGUUGAACAACGAGGGACCUCAUGGAGAGGAGUGAUGCCAAUUAUACCCAGAAUCUGUGGGGACACGGGUUCGAGCCCUGGUCCGG